AGAUUGCCCCUAUAGACAAAAAGGCCCGUCGUCAUACGAGGAGUAUUUUCAGUCCGUUGAUGAUUGGGUCACAAAUUACUGCCCACAUGGAACAAUAUAUAGUGCUAUGUACUGUAAAUGUAUUUCACAAGGUAUAAUAUUUUGUUUAUUGUAUUAGGAGGUGGUAAUUAAGUAUUAAGCAUGAAUAUUAUCAGUAAAUAAUUAAACAGAGUUAUUCCAGUGUUAAAAAAAAAUAAUAUUGGUUUACAAAAAAAUAAAUAAAUAUGUGUUUACCACUUCUCUUAAGCUAACGCAGGGCAGAUUAUAUCAAUAAAGGUAACAGUAGCAUGCCGCUGUUCGAAAUUCACAAAUUUGAUAAAUUGUUAAAAAAAAAAAAAUCCAUUGUCUUUUUUAUUUUUAUAAAUAAUCAUUUUCAUAACAGCGUGGACAAGACCAUUUCUUAUCGCGCUCAGGUAUUGCCUGAGUCAGAUUAGGUGAACGUUCGUCUGUAACGUCCACUUUUCAAAUCGUACGUGUUUUAAGUGUUUAAACUGUAGGGUCGCUUAAAGUUCUAAACGCCUAAAUCAAAUAAUACGAAUAACUAGCAGAGGACUAAACAUUGCAUGCAUGUUGAUUUAAAUGUUGAAUACAUAAACUUUUUUCUUUUCGUGCAUCUGCAUGUACUUAACAUUUUUAUUCUUAAAUUCUCACUGGAGGGCCCCUAACAGACUAAGUGAGCGUAAACUCCAACAUAAGAAUUGCGGUUGUCCAUGCUGUUAUGAAAAUGAUUCUAUCACUAUUAUUAUAUUUGUUCCAGUGAAACCCUAUAAUUCAAAUGGAUGGUAAAUUUAUAACAAGAUAUAUAAGCUGCUUUAAGGAUGUACUUUGGUGAGGUUUUGGAAUUUGUGUAAAAUGUUCGGACUCCUUGGUGUUUUUCCAUUCAACACAAUGUAAAAUAUUUUGCUCCAUAACACCCAUUUAUUUUUUCAUUUAAGAUUAAAUACCUCAUGAAAGGUCAUUUACCAAAAUUUAGAAGAUUCUUAAUUUUCUUUCCUUUGUUUUGAGACCCAAUAAUACCAAUGCAAAUAUAAGGUAAAAGUCCGAGUCAGUCUUUUCCCGCCAUAUUUAAAAUCUCAAAUAUCUCGAAAAGAAAGUCCAUGACCUAUCAAUAUUUUUAGCUCAUUUUUAUCCUUAAUAAAUGAUGCUCUACCAGCUUAAAGUAUAAAUUUUAACUUCUUAAUUUAUUAAUUUUCACCUAACCUCACCUAAGUACAUCCUUAACACCAUUGAAGUCAAUACUUUAACUUGACAGACUUAAUUUAGUUUGUGACUUUUUUCCCCAACAGAUGCAUCGACACAUUCACAGUCAAAUAAAAACCCUACAGAAAAAACGUCACCGAUUGUUUACACUUUUCAACCUCCUGCAAGUAAGUAUAUGUAUUAUUGGAUGAUUUUAUUAUUAAGUUUUUCAUCAGUAGGCCUGUAUAGAUAUAUCUUGAUGUAUCUAUCGUCCGUUAAAGACAUUAUAUGUUAUAGAUUUCUUAAAAUACCUAAAUAGUACACAAAAAUAGUAAUACAAAAUUCAAAAACGUAAUUGCUUACCAACGGAGUUAUUAAAACAAAAACAUAUUACAAAGAUCAAGUGUAAUACAUAACCAAUAUAACUGAUCUCCUUUCUCUUUAUACAGACUGUCCAUACACACAGGAUGGACCUUCAUCAUAUAAGGAAUACAUAGACAGUCUUGGGAAUUGGCUGACUUAUGACUGCUCUUCUGGGAAGGUAUAUAGUCCUCUCUGGUGUACUUGUCUUAUAGAAGGUAAGAUAUCUG
rnacentral:lncRNA from 1 species